rnacentral:rRNA from 1 species
GCACUCUGUGAAACAAGAUACAGGCUAGCGGCGGACGGGUGAGUAACACGUGGGUAACCUGCCCAAGAGAUCGGGAUAACACCUGGAAACAGAUGCUAAUACCGGAUAACAACAGAUGAUGCCUAUCAACUGUUUAAAAGAUGGUUCUGCUAUCACUCUUGGAUGGACCCGCGGUGCAUUAGCUAGUUGGUAGGGUAACGGCCUACCAAGGCGAUGAUGCAUAGCCCGAGUUGAGAGACUGAUCGGGCCACAUUGGGGACUGAGACACGGGGCCCAAACUCCUACGGGGGGAGGGGCAGCAGUAGGGGGAAUCUUCCACAAUGGACGCAAGUCUGAUGGAGCAACGCCGCGUGAGUGAAGAAGGGUUUCGGCUCGUAAAGCUCUGUUGUUGGUGAAGAAGGACAGGGGUAGUAACUGACCUUUGUUUGACGGUAAUCAAUUAGAAAGUCACGGCUAAACUACGUGCCAGCAGCCCGCGGUAAU